UAAUGCAUCAGGUUGUUUUCAUUUUCGCAAUUGUACAUUCAUAUGGAUACGGAUGCAGUAAAUCGGGUUUCUAUGGAUCCAACUGUUCUCUUUCGUGUCCUAGCAAUUGUUGGAAUGAUAAUUGCCACAUAGUAACGGGUACGUGUGAUGGAUGUAAACCUGGAUAUCAUGGUGAUCGGUGUGAAAUAGAAUGUAAUUCCAAUAUGUUUGGAAUUAAUUGUUGGGAGAUGUGUGGAAAUUGCAGAGAUGGAGCUCAAUGCCACCAUAUAACUGGAACUUGCCCAUCAGGAUGUUGCCCAGGGUAUUUUGGUGAUACUUGUACUGAAGUUGAAAGCAUAUUUGAAGACAACCUUAGAGCCUACAUUCACGCCGGUGAGAUGGUCGUUUCUGCCAUUGUUGUUUUUCUUCUUCUUCUUUGCUUUUGCGUCAAAUAACCUACGUCAUCAA